rnacentral:rRNA from 1 species
CACGCAGGCGGUGCUGCGCGUUUCGCGUGACAGCGGGUGGCUUAACUGCCCGAGGGUGCGAAAGACGGCAGGACUGGAGGGCCAGAGAGGGACACGGAAUUCCGGGUGGAGUGGUGAAAUGCGUAGAGAUCCGGAGGAACACCAAAGGCGAAGGCAGUGUCCUGGCUGGUGACUGACGCUGAGGUGCGAAAGCCAGGGGAGCGAACGGGAUUAGAUACCCCGGUAGUCCUGGCCGUAAACGAUGACCACCAGGUGUGGGAGGGCUCGACCCCUUCCGUGCCGUAGGAAACCCAUUAAGUGGUCCGCCUGGGGAGUACGGUCGCAAGAUUAAA